rnacentral:rRNA from 1 species
AUCUUCCACAAUGGACGGAAGUCUGAUGGAGCAACGCCGCGUGAGCGAAGAAGGUUUUCGGAUCGUAUAGCUCUGUUGUAGGGGAAGAACACGUACGGGAGUCACUGCCCGUACCUUGACGGUACCUUACCAGAAAGCCACGGCUAACUACGUCCCAGCAGCCGCGGUAAUAAGGAGGUGGCAUGCGUUGUCAGGACUUAUUGGGCGUAAAGCGGGCGCAGGCGGUCCAUUAGGUCUGAUGAGAAAGCCCACGGCUCAACCGUGGGGGGUCAUUGGAAACUGGAGGGAUUGAGUACAGAAGAGGAAAGCGGAAUUCCACGUGUAGCGGUGAAAUGCGUAGAGAUGUGGAGGAACACCAGUGGCGAAGGCGGCUUUCUGGUCUGUAACUGACGCUGAGGCGCGAAAGCGUGGGGAGCAAAC